rfam:Brachypodium distachyon strain Bd21 chromosome 3, whole genome shotgun sequence.
UUAAUACUCCCUCCGAUCUAUAUUAAUUGUCUCAAAUUUGCCCAAAUAUGAAUGUAUCUAUGGCUAAAAAGCGUCUAGAUACAUUUUUGACAAUUAAUAUGGAUCGGAGGGAGUACCUA